AGAAUAAAAUUCAAAAUUCGUCUCCUGAUACUUGAGAACACAAUAGUAUACAUUUUGGCAUUCACAUAUCUCUUUCGGUUCUUUUAGUCAAUCCAAAUUCAAAAUCUAUAACAUGUCUAUUAAGGAGGACGACUUAAUACCUCCAGCCGAAUUGAAUGCAUACUUUAUGGGAAAAUUUAAAUGUAUUGAGAAGAAAAUACGAAAAUUAGAAAGACAAAAUGAUUUUUAUGCCCAAGAGGUUAAGAGAAUUAAGAAAGAAUUUGAUGCAAAUGAAAAAUAUUUCGAUAGUUAUCCUAACUUUGCUAAUGAAGGAUGUGAUUUUGAUCAUGACUCUUGGCGUUAUAAAUUAAUGGAUGAAAUUCGUGAAACGCAAUGUCCCCCUGAUAUCGACAAAUUAAAUAUGUUCGAGGAGAUCAUGUUAGAGGUGAAAUUAGAGCAGAAAUAUAAGAAUGAAGUGAAUGAGGAAGAGGAAAUGGUGGUAAAAGAGGUGAAAAAGAAAUCUAAAAAGGACAUAGAGAGAGAAAACAUGAUGUAUUUAAUAAAGGGACCUGACAAGAAAUGCAAAAAGGAAGAGGAAGAAGCUGAAAAUUGUGAAGAAGAAAAUGACGAGAAUGAAUCUGAUGAUGAUUGUGAAGAAGGUUCUGAUCAAGUAGAAGCAGUUUGUUGCCAUUAAUAUGAAAGAUAUUGCGGUUCUCAUUACAAGGACUCGUUAUUGGACUUGAAUCUACUUUAUUUUUAAUUAGGAAAACAAAAUGAUUUACUAAAAUCAUUAUAAUAUUUUGAAGAUGGAAAAAAUUGACUGAAAAAAUUUAAAGGAUUGAUUGGAAUUUACAAAAUCGGACUAAUGGAUAAGUUAAAACUUACCUUAGGACUUAUAUCAAUGCCAAACAAUGUAAUUAAAAAUUUUUACCUGAAAUGAAAGAAAAAAAACUUUUAUUAAUUUUCG